rnacentral:rRNA from 1 species
UACGUAGGGGGCGAGCGUUGCUCGGAUUUAUUGGGCGUAAAGAGCGUGUAGGCGGCCAGGUAGGUCUGCUGUGAAAACUCGAGGCUCAACCUCGAGACGUCGGCGGAAACCAUCUGGCUAGAGUCCGGAAGAGGAGAGUGGAAUUCCUGGUGUAGCGGUGGAAUGCGCAGAUAUCAGGAGGAACACCGGUGGCGAAGGCGGGUCUCUGGGCAGUAACUGACGCUGAGGAGCGAAAGCGUGGGGAGCGAACAGG